UCUUGGACAAUGGGGGAAAGCCUGAUCCACCUCAUGCCGCGUGAGUGAUGAAUGUCCCUAGGGGUUGUAAACGCUUUUUUGUGCGGUAAGAGAAUGACGGUACCGCAAGAAUAAGCCCCGGCUAACUUCGUGCCAGCAGCCGCGGUAAUACGAAGGGGGCGAGCGUUGCUCGAAUCACUGGGCGUAAAGGGUGGCAGGCGGAUUUCAAGUCGGGGGUAAAUCCCGGGGCUUAACUCCGGAUGGCCUUUGUACUGGAAUCUUGGGUUCGGAAGGGGGGGGUGAAUUGCGCGUGAGCGGUAAAUUCGAAAUUUGUGCAAGAACACCAAGUGGCGAGGAGGCUCCCUGGCCCGUCUGCGCUAGUCCAGAUUAAAUA
rnacentral:rRNA from 1 species